UACGUAGGGGGCAAGCGUUGUCCGGAAUCAUUGGGCGUAAAGAGCGUGUAGGCUGCUCGGUAAGUCCGCUGUAAAAGUCAAAGGCUCAACCUUUGAAUGUCAGUGGAUACUGCCGGGCUAGAGUCCGGAAGAGGCGAGUGGAAUUCCUGGUGUAGCGGUGAAAUUCGUAGAUAUUAGGAAGAACACCGGUGGCGAAGGCGGGUCUCUGGACAGUUCCUGACGCUGAGGCACGAAGGUCAGGGGAGCAAACGGG
rnacentral:rRNA from 1 species